UACGUAGGUGGCAAGCGUUGUCCGGAAUUAUUGGGCGUAAAGCGCGCGCAGGCGGUCCUUUAAGUCUGAUGUGAAAGCCCACGGCUCAACCGUGGAGGGUCAUUGGAAACUGGGGGACUUGAGUGCAGAAGAGGAAAGCGGAAUUCCACGUGUAGCGGUGAAAUGCGUAGAGAUGUGGAGGAACACCAGUGGCGAAGGCAGCUUUCUGGUCUGUAACUGACGCUGAGGCGCGAAAGCGUGGGGAGCAAACAGG
rnacentral:rRNA from 1 species